rnacentral:rRNA from 1 species
AACGAACGCUGGCGGCAGGCCUAACACAUGCAAGUCGAGCGGGCACCGCAAGGUGUCAGCGGCAGACGGGAGAGUAACACGUGGGAACGCGCCCUUCGGUUCGGAAUAACUCAGGGAAACUUGAGCUAAUACCGGAUACGCCUUACGGGAAGAUUAUCGCCGAAGGAACGGCCCGCGUCUGAUUAGCUAGUUGGUGAGGUAAUGGCUCACCAAGGCUACGAUCAGUAGCUGGCUAAGAGGAUGAUCAGCCUCACUGGGACUGAGACACGGCCCACGACUCCUACGGGAGGCAGCAGUGGGGAAUCUUGCGCAAUGGCCGAAAGGCUGACGCAGCGACGCCGCGUGGGGA